rnacentral:rRNA from 1 species
GAACUUAAGCAUAUCAAUAAGCGGAGGAAAAGAAACUAACAAGGAUUCCCUCAGUAACUGCGAGUGAAGUGGGAAAAGCUCAAAUUUGAAAUCUGGCAGCUCUUUCAGGUUGUCCGAGUUGUAAUCUAGAGAAGCGUUACCUGUGUUGGACCGUGUAAAAGUCUUCUGGAAUGGAGCAUCAUAGAGGGUGAGAAUCCCGUCUUUGACAUGGACUACCAGCAUGCCAAGGUGCACUCUCAAAGAGUCGAGUUGUUUGGGAAUGCAGCUCAAAAUGGGUGGUAAAUGCCAUCUAAAGCUAAAUAUUGGCGAGAGACCGAUAGCGAACAAGUACCGUGAGGGAAAGAUGAAAAGAACUUUGGAAAGAGAGUUAAACAGUACGUGAAAUUGCUGAAAGGGAAACGCUUAAAGUCAGUCGCAUUAGCUGGAAAUCAGGCUUGCUUUUGCAAGGUGCACUUUCUAGUUGAUGGGUCAGCAUCAAUUUUAAUCGUUGGAUAAAGUCAUUGGGAAUGUGGCAUCUUUGGAUGUGUUAUAGCCCAGUGUUGAAUACAGCGGUCAGGAUUGAGGAAUUCAGCAUGCCUCUAGGGGCCAGGUUUCGACCAUGUUCAUGCUUAGGAUGCUGGCAUAAUGGCUUUAAUCGACCCGUCUUGAAACACGGACCAAGGAGUCUAACAUGCCUGCGAGUGUUUGGGUGAAAAACCCAUACGCACAAUGAAAGUGAAAGUUGAGAUCCUUAGGGAGCAUUGACGCCCGGACCAGACCUUCUGUGACGGGUCCGCGGUAGAGCAUGUAUGUUGGGACCCGAAA